rnacentral:rRNA from 1 species
GCAAGUCGAGCGCAGUCCUUCGGGACCGAGCGGCGGACGGGUUAGUAACGCGUGGGAAUAUGCCCUUCACUACGGAAUAGCCUCGGGAAACUGAGAGUAAUACCGUAUACGCCCUUCGGGGGAAAGAUUUAUCGGUGAAGGAUUAGCCCGCGUAAGAUUAGAUAGUUGGUGGGGUAAUGGCCUACCAAGGCGAUGAUCUGUAGCUGGUUUGAGAGGACGAUC